GCCUGGCUGGCUUAGUCAGUUAAGCGUCUGCCUUCGGCGCAGGUCAUGAUCCAGGGUGCUGGGAUCGAGUCCCACAUCAGGCU
rnacentral:tRNA from 1 species